rnacentral:rRNA from 1 species
AAAGGCGCUUUCGGGUGUCGCUGAUGGAUGGACCCGCGGUGCAUUAGCUAGUUGGUGAGGUAACGGCUCACCAAGGCCACGAUGCAUAGCCGACCUGAGAGGGUGAUCGGCCACAUUGGGACUGAGACACGGCCCAAACUCCUACGGGAGGCAGCAGUAGGGAAUCUUCGGCAAUGGACGAAAGUCUGACCGAGCAACGCCGCGUGAGUGAAGAAGGUUUUCGGAUCGUAAAACUCUGUUGUUAGAGAAGAACAAGGAUGAGAGUAACUGUUCAUCCCUUGACGGUAUCUAACCAGAAAGCCACGGCUAACUACGUGCCAGCAGCCGCGGUAAUACGUAGGUGGCAAGCGUUGUCCGGAUUUAUUGGGCGUAAAGCGAGCGCAGGCGGUUUCUUAAGUCUGAUGUGAAAGCCCCCGGCUCAACCGGGGAGGGUCAUUGGAAACUGGGAGACUUGAGUGCAGAAGAGGAGAGUGGAAUUCCAUGUGUAGCGGUGAAAUGCGUAGAUAUAUGGAGGAACACCAGUGGCGAAGGCGGCUCUCUGGUCUGUAACUGACGCUGAGGCUCGAAAGCGUGGGGAGCAAACAGGAUUAGAUACCCUGGUAGUCCACGCCGUAAACGAUGAGUGCUAAGUGUUGGAGGGUUUCCGCCCUUCAGUGCUGCAGCUAACGCAUUAAGCACUCCGCCUGGGGAGUACGACCGCAAGGUUGAAACUCAAAGGAAUUGACGGGGGCCCGCACAAGCGGUGGAGCAUGUGGUUUAAUUCGAAGCAACGCGAAGAACCUUACCAGGUCUUGACAUCCUUUGACCACUCUAGAGAUAGAGCUUCCCCUUCGGGGGCAAAGUGACAGGUGGUGCAUGGUUGUCGUCAGCUCGUGUCGUGAGAUGUUGGGUUAAGUCCCGCAACGAGCGCAACCCUUAUUGUUAGUUGCCAUCAUUCAGUUGGGCAC